AAGCUGAAGCUGGGGCUGGGUCAGCAACCUAAUUCCAGUUAAGAGACAGAUUUGGUCGUGGACAUGGUCAACCACCUCAGUAAAGUUGGAGGGAUUAUUUUGUGUUGAAUAAACUUGUGGUCAGAAAAU